rnacentral:rRNA from 1 species
GACGAACGCUGGCGGCGUGCUUAACACAUGCAAGUCGAGCGGUAAGGCCCUUUCGGGGGUACGACGAGCGGCGAACGGGUAGAGUAACACGUGGGUGACCUGCCCUCAGCUCUGGGAUAAGCCUGGGAAACCGGGUCUAAUACUGGAUAUGACUCCAUGACGCAUGUUGUGGGGUGGAAAGCCUUGUGCGGCUGAGGAUGGGCCCGCGGCCUAUCAGCUUGUUGGUGGGGUGGAUGGCCUACC